rnacentral:lncRNA from 1 species
AAAUGACAGCGUUUGUCAAGCUGUUUGUUUAGUGAACUCUCUGGGUGUGCUGUUACACAAGAACUGUCUUAAUUAAGGUUAAUUGGUGCAUAAUUAUAGGCACUGCUGACUUAAAAGAUUCCACUGGCGGUAAAGCAAUGAGAACCCUUAAUGUCUAGACAAGGACAAAGCAAUCACAAUAAGCCAAAUUUCAAGACACAUUCUAUUUCCAACACAAGGGCCCUACCCCUGGUCUGACCUGUUUAGAAGGGCACAUCUCACCAAGUGUUUGGGAACCCCUUGUGAGCUUUGGAUAAAGAAAAUCUGAUUCCAGCCUCGUGGUAUUUAGAAAAAAACAAAGAAAAGUAAAUGCAAUGGUGGGCUGGUUAUUAUUCUAAACUGUUAAAAUUUAGCUCAGGUAAAAAUCAAUCAACUUCACUUUCUCUCUGUCCUUAUUUUCUUCCCUUGCAUAAAGGGAGAAGUGGGUUGGGUAGGCAGAUGGGCAUAGAGAAUAGAGGCAGUAUCGUUCUCAAUAUCGGAAAAUGACUAGAAACAACGUGGUAGCCUGUUUCCCAUGUCUACCACGGGCACCACUGGUGCAUCACAGUGCAGUCCCCGACUUAUGUUAGCUACAAGCCCGGGUUUCCCAAGAGGGAGGGCACCAGACACCAAAAUGAACUCCAAGUGAGGUCAUAAAAUUGCUUUCCCUAGUGUCUUUAAAAACAAGAUGAAAGCAUGCAGCACUGGCUGGCGUUAGCAAGAACUUAUUUGGAAGCUGGAGAUUGACUAGAACUUCUGUAAGGAACCACCUAUUUUUGUUCCUGUUGGCUAUUUUCUUUUAAUUUCCAAUCCAUUGUGGACCAAUAUUUUUGUAAAAUACAAUAUAAGUGAGUUACUAAAUAAAUUUAAAAAGACAAAGUGCAAGUCCAAAUAUGUUAAUGUUAGAUUCAACAGACACAAAAUGAUUCAGUUAUUAUAAAAGUUUGUAAUAUUCCUUUGCAAUUUCUAUACUCAUCUCUUUGCAGAGCUCUAAGAAACAGCUUGGAUUGGGGCCCCAAGGUACUGUGCCAGAGGCCCGUGGGGUCGUCUUGGCCCUUCAGGCUCCUGGAAUGCUGCAGCUUUGCGUUCUGAGCAUGCGCAGCCCACUCCCCACAUCUGACCUCAGGCGGUCCGUCCCUUGCACAUGUGAUGAGGUCCUAUCCUCACACCUGGCUCGGCCUUUGGGGCGAGGCUCAGCUGCCUGGUGACUCUGAGGGGCUGGGGGCCAAAGAGUCCACGAGCAUUGAGAUUUGCGUGACGGAUGGUGUGAGCCAGUGUCCUUAUGGAGGAGUCUGGGAGGAGGGGCCUCCGGCACCCCAGGCACCCAGAUGUUUCUUAUCCCAGGAUUCCCCUGCGCGGCCUGUAAAACUCUGGAGAAAACGCGAGAUGGGGCUUCCUCUGGGAAGAGUGAUGGCGCUGCAGGGCCGGCAGGGUGAUUCCGCCGCUCUGAGCCUUUCUGAGGCUCAGGUCACGCCAGCCCAUCCUCUCCCUGCCCCUCCAUCAGGACUCGCACUUGCCCCUGAGUCACCAAGCGCACCCUGCGGUCUCCAACUGCUCCCUGUUUGAAGAAAGUAGCGCUAAUCUGUGAACUCCACUUUGAAUACAGCUGGCCCAGGCAUUUGCUUGGUAUAAGGAUGCAAAAGUGAACAAUACAAGCAGGAUCUUUGCCUUCGCGGAGACAUUUAGCAGUCACAGGGCUCAACCUUAGACUACAUUUACCAGCCUCCCUUGCAGCGAGUUGUGGUCACCUGACCUCAUCUGUUGAGAAGAAUGCAAUCAGCAGUAGCAUACAAUCUUCCAGGCAUGAACCAUGAAAACUUCCCACAAUCUUCUGUGUUCUUUCUUCCCCAUCUAACAGCCUAGAGGUUGAAGAGUGGACAAGACAGAAGGAAACUAGGCCCUGAAUGAGCAUUCAGGCCUACCAUCAAAUCAGAUGUUCAGUUUCAGCUUUGAGGGAAUGAGCUACUUUUUAGGGGAGUUGAGUUACUGAAAUUCGUUACUUGCCUAAUUAAUGUGCAAGUCUGGAUGCCAUGCUGUGGAAUUUAAUUGGACGGUGUUGUUUUUGGCUAAGCAUAAUUUGCUCUGAAAAAAAUCUCAAAAGAGCUGGCAGAGUCUUCCCUUCAGAUUAUCAGUUGGAACAGAAUGGAACUUAUUGUCUGGGCAGUGGAGGAAAUAUCCCCUUAAAUUCAGGACUGGACUCCAGCUGGUUUGUCCUCCACUCAGCGAGGCCCCAGGAGGAGUGGAUCUGUUGGUGUCGUCCCAGAUGCCCUUGACUGGCUUGCACACCCAUCUGCCAAUUACUGCCUUCAAGUAAAGUCAUCAGUAUUUGGGGGACCAGCAGAGAGGGAAUCAAGCCAAACAUCUGUCCCGAGGCUGAUCCUGCACCUGGAGAGGAAUCAGCACCCAGCUUUUUACGGCCACCUGAAAGCUUAGAGCCAGCAAGUCUGAGCUGGAACCUCCCUAUUCUUGCUGCUGCCGAAGGAUCAAGGAACCACGACCGCCGGAAUGCCAGCUGCAAAGACACCUUUCACAAAGGAACUUUGAAGGUUUGUUGUAGCGUUUGUCAUUUUCGUGCUGCAAAUGGAUUCUGCCCAUCCCAGACUCG